rnacentral:rRNA from 1 species
GUUAUAUGGUCAAGCGAAUAAGCGCACACGGUGGAUGCCUUGGCGGUCAGAGGCGAUGAAGGACGUGGCAGCCUGCGAAAAGUAUCGGGGAGCUGGCAACAAGCUUUGAUCCGGUAAUGUCCGAAUGGGGAAACCCACCCGCUUGCGGGUAUCCUGCAGUGAAUACAUAGCUGCUGGAAGCGAACCUGGUGAACUGAAAUAUCUAAGUAACCAGAGGAAAAGAAAUCAACCGAGAUUCCGUAAGUAGCGACGAGCGAACGCGGACUAGCCCUUAAGCUGAUUUGGUUCUAGGAAAACGCUCUGGAAAGAGCGGCCAUAGAAGGUGAUAGCCCUGUAUCUGAAAGGGCCAUUUCAGUGAAGACGAGUAGGGCGGGGCACGUGAAACCCUGUCUGAACAUGGGGGGACCAUCCUCCAAGGCUAAAUACUACUGACCGACCGAUAGUGAACCAGUACCGUGAGGGAAAGGCGAAAAGAACCCCGGAGAGGGGAGUGAAAUAGAACCUGAAACCGUGUGCGUACAAGCAGUAGGAGCUCCGCAAGGAGUGACUGCGUACCUUUUGUAUAAUGGGUCAGCGACUUACUGUUCGUGGCAAGCUUAACCGUAUAGGGGAGGCGAAGGGAAACCGAGUCUGAUAAGGGCGCAUAGUCGCGGGCAGUAGACCCGAAACCGGGUGAUCUAGUCAUGCCCAGGGUGAAGGUGCGGUAACACGCACUGGAGGCCCGAACCCACUCCCGUUGCAAAGGUAGGGGAUGAGGUGUGAUUAGGAGUGAAAAGCUAAUCGAACCCGGAGAUAGCUGGUUCUCCUCGAAAGCUAUUUAGGUAGCGCCUCAUAUGUAUCCUCUCGGGGGUAGAGCACUGUUAUGGCUAGGGGGUCAUCGCGACUUACCAAACCAUUGCAAACUCCGAAUACCGAGACGGACUGUAUGGGAGACACACGGCGGGUGCUAACGUCCGUCGUGAAAAGGGAAACAACCCAGACCCACAGCUAAGGUCCCAAAUUCACUGCUAAGUGGAAAACCAUGUGGAAAGGCACAGACAGCCAGGAGGUUGGCUUAGAAGCAGCCACCCUUUAAAGAAAGCGUAAUAGCUCACUGGUCGAGUCGGUCUGCGGGGAAGAUUUAACGGGGCUAAGCAGUGAACCGAAGCUUGGGGUGCAUAACUUUGUUAUGCGCGGUAGAGGAGCGUUCCGUAAGCCGUUGAAGGUGGAUUGAGAAGUCUGCUGGAGGUAUCGGAAGUGCGAAUGCUGACAUGAGUAACGAUAAUGCGGGUGAAAAACCCGCACGCCGAAAGCCCAAGGUUUCCUUGCGCAACGUUAAUCGGCGCAGGGUGAGUCGGCCCCUAAGGCGAGGACGAAAGUCGUAGUCGAUGGGAAGCAGGUUAAUAUUCCUGCACCUCGCGUAAGUGCGAUGGAGGGACGGAGAAGGUUAGGUGUACCAGGCGUUGGUUGUCCUGGGGAAAGGCGGUAGGUUUGGAUCUUUGGCAAAUCCGGGAUCCUCUAAGACCGAGCACCGAGACGAGCCUUUAUGGCGAAGUCACUGAUACCACGCUUCCAGGAAAAGCUCCUAAGCUUCAGCUUACGCAGACCGUACCGUAAACCGACACAGGUGGGUAGGAUGAGAAUUCUCAGGCGCUUGAGAGAACUCGGGUGAAGGAACUAGGCAACAUGGCACCGUAACUUCGGGAGAAGGUGCACCCUUUUUGGUGGCUCGUGCGAGCUAUAGCUGAAGAGGGUCGCAGUAACCAGGCCGCUGCGACUGUUUAUCAAAAACACAGCACUCUGCAAACACGAAAGUGGACGUAUAGGGUGUGACGCCUGCCCGGUGCUGGAAGGUUAAUUGAUGGGGUCAGCCGCAAGGCGAAGCUCUUGAUCGAAGCCCCAGUAAACGGCGGCCGUAACUAUAACGGUCCUAAGGUAGCGAAAUUCCUUGUCGGGUAAGUUCCGACCUGCACGAAUGGCGUAACGACAGCGGCGCUGUCUCCACCCGAGACUCAGUGAAAUUGAAAUCGCUGUGAAGAUGCAGCGUUCCCGUGGCAAGACGGAAAGACCCCGUGAACCUUUACUAUAGCUUUACACUGAACGUUGAGUUCGUCUGUGUAGGAUAGGUGGGAGGCUAUGAAACUGUGGCGCUAGCUGCAGCGGAGCCAUCCUUGAAAUACCACCCUGUCGUGCUUGACGUUCUAACCUGGGCCCAUUAUCUGGGUCGGGGACCGUGUAUGGUGGGUAGUUUGACUGGGGCGGUCUCCUCCUAAAGAGUAACGGAGGAGCUCGAAGGUACGCUCAGCGCGGUCGGACAUCGCGCACUGUGUGCAAAGGCAUAAGCGUGCUUGACUGCAAGAUCGACGGAUCAAGCAGGUAGGAAACUAGGACUUAGUGAUCCGGUGGUUCUGUAUGGAAGGGCCAUCGCUCAACGGAUAAAAGGUACUCCGGGGAUAACAGGCUGAUACCGCCCAAGAGUUCAUAUCGACGGCGGUGUUUGGCACCUCGAUGUCGGCUCAUCACAUCCUGGGGCUGUAGUCGGUCCCAAGGGUAUGGCUGUUCGCCAUUUAAAGUGGUACGCGAGCUGGGUUCAGAACGUCGUGAGACAGUUCGGUCCCUAUCUGCCAUGGGCGUUGGAGAUUUGAGAGGGGCUGCUCCUAGUACGAGAGGACCGGAGUGGACGAACCUCUGGUGUUCCGGUUGUCACGCCAGUGGCAUUGCCGGGUAGCUAUGUUCGGAAGCGAUAACCGCUGAAAGCAUCUAAGCGGGAAGCGCGCCUCAAGAUGAGAUCUCCCGGGGCACAAGCCCCCUGAAGGAACCAUGUAGACUACGUGGUUGAUAGGUCAGGUGUGUAAGUACAGCAAUGUAUUGAGCUAACUGAUACUAAUGAUCCGUGCGGCUUGACCAUAUAACCU